rnacentral:lncRNA from 1 species
UAUAUGUUAAAUUUUGUAAAAGGCAGAAAGAUCCAGAAUGUUCCGAUUGUUAAAUUUUUUGUUUUAUUGAAAAGUUGUGCACGGGCAUUGGGCAUCAUGGUCCAGCUGGUCGAAAUGCGACACGCACUGCGUAAAGAAAAGGACAAGAUCUUGCACAAAUCCAGCUCCAUCAACGUUCGGUCAUACCUGCAGUGGAAAUUCGGAAGAUAAAGAGAAUUGUAGUGACCUGUCCACGUGCUCAAUAACCGUACGGCUUCGUGGAGGCAAUACUUCUCGAAGUGGACGUGUGGAAGUAUCUCACGACGGUAUUAACUGGGGCACUGUGUGUGAUGAUUUGUUUGACCAUAAUAACAAUGGUGCAAAAGUAGUGUGCAGAAUGUUGGGAUAUCCUACAUCUCGAGCUCAGCAUUACACAGCCAGCGGAGGCAGUGGGCCGAUCUUCCUUGACGGUGUCAACUGUACCGGUUCAGAAAGUAGUUUACUUUAUUGUAAACAUAACCGAUGGAAUGACGAAAACUGUUCCCAUUCAGAAGAUAUUGGUGUUAGGUGUGAUUGAAGUACUAUCGGUCAGAUUUCUCCUUCAAUUACACUUCCGUUACAAUGCCAAUCAUUACGAAUAAAGCUAAAGAUAUGUCCAUUUCGUUCUGUUCAGUAUGUGCCGAAAAUAAGUUUCGCCGAAAUAUUGUUUAGACGCAUUUAUAAAAUUUAUGAACAUAUAAUUUAAAAAUGUAUCUAACACUGAAGUUUCCUUCAUGUACUAAUUUGUUUGAAUUUGCUUGAAUGCACUAGUAGGGUAAUUGUGAUGUAUCUAAUUUAUAAAGACAGCAUUUGUAUUCAAUAAAACAGAAUGAUAAACACAUCACGUGUAUACGAUUACUUAAAACAUCUGGUCUACUUCGAAAUAGUACAUUUUUAAAGCAUGCUUUUGAAUAAUUAACAUUCCUGGGGUACUAAUUUUCGUGGAUUUAUGGUUGCGUCCGUGCACUAGAUUUACUUCAAACAAACAAACGAAUUUCAAAAUUAUUGUACAUUCACGAAUCAAUGUCCCCACAAAAUAGUCAAUCUUUGCUGAAACCAUGAAAUUCUAUGACCACAAAAUUAUUUUACUCAA